CUACGUGCCAGCAGCCGCGGUAAUACGUAGGUCCCGAGCGUUGUCCGGAUUUAUUGGGCGUAAAGCGAGCGCAGGCGGUUAGAUAAGUCUGAAGUUAAAGGCUGUGGCUUAACCAUAGUACGCUUUGGAAACUGUUUAACUUGAGUGCAAGAGGGGAGAGUGGAAUUCCAGGUGUAGCGGUGAAAUGCGUAGAGAUCUGGAGGAAUACCGGUGGCGAAGGCGGCCCCCUGGACAAAGACUGACGCUCAGGUGCGAAAGCGUGGGGAGCAAACAGGAUUAGAUACCCUGGUAGUCCACGCCGUAAACGAUGUCGACUUGGAGGUUGUUCCCUUGAGGAGUGGCUUCCGGAGCUAACGCGUUAAGUCGACCGCCUGGGGAGUACGGCCGCAAGGUUAAAACUCAAAUGAAUUGACGGGGGCCCGCACAAGCGGUGGAGCAUGUGGUUUAAUUCGAUGCAACGCGAAGAACCUUACCUACUCUUGACAUCCAGA
rnacentral:rRNA from 1 species